rnacentral:rRNA from 1 species
UACGUAGGGUGCAAGCGUUAAUCGGAAUUACUGGGCGUAAAGCGUGCGCAGGCGGCUUUGCAAGACAGAUGUGAAAUCCCCGGGCUUAACCUGGGAACUGCAUUUGUGACUGCAAGGCUAGAGUACGGUAGAGGGGGAUGGAAUUCCGCGUGUAGCAGUGAAAUGCGUAGAUAUGCGGAGGAACACCGAUGGCGAAGGCAAUCCCCUGGGCCUGCACUGACGCUCAUGCACGAAAGCGUGGGGAGCAAACAGG